rnacentral:tRNA from 1 species
GCCUGGUUAGCUCAUUUGUGGAGCAUGUAAUUUUUGAUCUUGGGGUUGUGAGUUUGAGCCCCACACUGGGUA